CUGAAACACAGGCCAUCGAUGACUUCCUCUGCCCUGGACUUGUACCCAAGCUCCUUACCAGACCCCCAGGACCUGGCUUUGCCCACCUCUCUGCUGGAACCCCUCUCUGCCCUGGGGCAUUGGCACAUGCCACCCCCACGACCUGGGCCCAUGCUUCUGGGAUAGCUAGGUCGGACCAGCCUUCAGGCCUCGUACCCAUGUCCACCUUGGCACGGCCUCCCCACUGCCCCCUCGUUAGCCUAUCUCCUUCCACACGGUAGCCGACAUGGCACUGACUCCAGCGUGCCACCACACAUCAGCAGAAUACAACAGGCUGUCACUGCACUAACAGAACUAACGGAAACCACCUGGACCUCAACUGCACAGGGAUUCUUAGAGGGGAAAGAAGAAGGCCAAUCCUGAGGGUUCUGAGGAAGGAACCGCCACAAAAGGGUGGAUGUUACAGAGACCAGCAUGAAGCAUCCACCAGCGACAUGGGCAGUGAUGCUGGUAAUGAGCUCACCAUCGGGAAAGCACGCAAGAAGAGCCCAGGAUACACAGGCCCUCGGCAUCCAUGUCAUGCUGCGAUGCAUCCCAUAGAGCUCAGCCUUCCUGGUUCUAUUCCUCAGGAACUCGUGACUAUUUAGAUGAGUUCUCAGCUUUUAUUCUCAGUUAAUAAACUGAAUUUUCCAUCAGUCAAUCAAACGAAAGUCUUGGGUUUCCACUUAGAGCUCCUGGGGGGCUUUCUUGCUUGGGCUCAUGUCCUUGAGGUCUUUC
rnacentral:lncRNA from 1 species